UGUGGGUCACCGGGGCGGGGGAGCGAGGAAAUUAGAGGGGGUGUUGUCGGUCCAGGAGAAAGGCGCCCGAAAGCACAGCAUAAUAGCGUUUGGUAUUCACUUAUCGCAGUGCUUCCCAGGCAUGACCAAGUUAUUCUCUUGAUUGGAGCCCAGGGAGAUGGGAAAGGUAAGCAGAACCAACCAAUUCCUUUGCAAAUGCUGACACGGAGGCAGGCAGAACGGAAUUUGCCUGUCUAGUGUCCCAAGUAAGAAGCUGGGCCUCCUUCCUCAGUGUAUGAUCCAUUCGAGUGAAGUGAACUCCUGCUCGGCAAGGUUUGGGUACCCCAGACACGAUGGAGAGCAAAACCAGGUCUGCGAGUGUGGAGCUGUCCACCUAGACCGAUGAGAGAAACGAGGAAGGAACUCAGUGUGAGGAGGUACCCACCUUACUUCUAGCACAGCACCUGCCCAUUGUCCUAUAUCGGAGGUUCCUAGAGAAAUGAAAGAAAAUUGCAAAGUUUAAUUGGAAAUCUGUUGGAAUUGGUACAGGAAGAAUCCAAAAAUAGACUUCACACUCAUGUAUAUCAGGCUUUAUACCCUUCUUGGAAAGGCUACUGUCCCUGUUGUCACCCUCCAGAACCAUCUAGAAGCACCUGAUCCUCACUGCAAUUGCUGAAAGACCACAUCAACUCAAGACGUCAGUGCUCCUGGUUCUUGGACUUUUGGACUGAAGUGAGGAAUUACACCGUCACUCUCCCACAUCCUCAAGACUUCAGAGUUAGACCGAAUGGCACCACCUGCUCCCCUGGUUCUCUAGCUUGCAGAUGGCAAAUUGUGGGACUUCUUGGCCUCUAUAACCACCUGAGCCAAUUUUUAUUAGAGAGAGAGAGAGAGAGAGAGAGAGAGAGAGAGAGAGAGAGAGAGAGAGAGAGAGAUCCUAUUGGUUUCUCUGGAGA